GACGGAGGCCCCGAGCGUUGUUCGAAAUCACUGGGCUUAAAGCGCGUGUAGGCGGGACGGCAAGUACUUUGUGAAAGCCCCGGCUUCAACCCGGGAAUUGCUUGGUAUACUGCCGUUCUUGAGGCAGGUAGGGGUCGCUGGAACCUUAGGUGGAGCGGUGAAAUGCGUAGAUAUCUAAGGGAACGCCUGUGGCGAAAGCGGGCGACUGGGCCUGUCCUGACGCUGAGACGCGAAAGCGUAGGGAGCAAACGGG
rnacentral:rRNA from 1 species